rnacentral:rRNA from 1 species
GAUGAACGCUGGCGGCGUGCCUAAUACAUGCAAGUCGAGCGAACGGACGAGAAGCUUGCUUCUCUGAUGUUAGCGGCGGACGGGUGAGUAACACGUGGAUAACCUACCUAUAAGACUGGGAUAACUUCGGGAAACCGGAGCUAAUACCGGAUAAUAUUUUGAACCGCAUGGUUCAAAAGUGAAAGACGGUCCUGCUGUCACUUAUAGAUGGAUCCGCGCUGCAUUAGCUAGUUGGUAAGGUAACGGCUUACCAAGGCAACGAUGCAUAGCCGACCUGAGAGGGUGAUCGGCCACACUGGAACUGAGACACGGUCCAGACUCCUACGGGAGGCAGCAGUAGGGAAUCUUCCGCAAUGGGCGAAAGCCUGACGGAGCAACGCCGCGUGAGUGAUGAAGGUCUUCGGAUCGUAAAACUCUGUUAUUAGGGAAGAACAUAUGUGUAGGUAACUGUGCACAUCUUGACGGUACCUAAUCAGAAAGCCACGGCUAACUACGUG